rnacentral:rRNA from 1 species
UUGAAGAGUUUGAUCCUGGCUCAGAUUGAACGCUUGCGGCAUGGCUAAAGCAUGCAAGUCAGGGAGAACCUUCGGGGGACACCGGCGAAAGGGCGAGUAAUGCGAUCGUACGUACCCCAAUGCGGGGGAUAGCGUCGGGAAACCGGCGGUAAUACCCCAUGUGCUCUACGGAGGAAGUUGGGAGCGGCGAUCGUCCUAUCAGGUUGUUGGUGGGGUAAUGGCCUACCAAGCCGAAGACGGGUAGCGGGUGUGAGAGCAUGACCCGCCGCAUCGGGACUGAGACACUGCCCGGACUCCUACGGGAGGCUGCAGCAACGAAUCUUCCGCAAUGCGCGAAAGCGUGACGGAGCGACGCCGCGUGUGGGAUGAAGGCCCUCGGCGUCGUAAACCACUGUCAGGGCCGCAAGAACCAGACGAUCUAGCGCCCAGAGGAAGGGCCGGCUAACUCUGUGCCAGCAGCCGCGGUAAGACGAGUGGCCCAAGCGUUAAUCGGAAUCACUGGGCUUAAAGCGUGCGUAGGCGGCCUUCGGCAAGUCCCUGUGAAAUCCCCCGGCUCAACCGGGGAAUUGCGGGGCGAACUGCGUGGUCUUGAGGCAGGUAGGGGCGCCGGAACUGUCGGUGGAGCGGUGAAAUGCAUAGAUAUCGACAGGAACGCCGAAGGGGAAGCAGGCGCCCUGGGCCUGUCCUGACGCUGAGGCACGAAAGCGUGGGGAGCAAACAGGAUUAGAUACCCUGGUAGUCCACGCCCUAAACGAUGCACACUAGAUCGGGUGGUUCUGACGCUCUUCCGGUCGAAGCGAAAAGCGUUAAGUGUGCCGCCUGGGGAGUACGGUCGCAAGGCUAAAACUCAAAGGAAUUGACGGGGGCUCACACAAGCGGUGGAGCAUGUGGCUUAAUUCGAGGCAACGCGAAGAACCUUACCUGGGUUUGACAUGCACGGAUUAACCCUGUGAAAGCAGGGCCACGCCCUCGAGGGUGGAACGUGCACAGGUGCUGCAUGGCUGUCGUCAGCUCGUGCUCGUGAGAGUGUCGGGUUAAGUCCCUUAACGAGCGAAACCCCUGUCGCUAGUUGCCAGCGGGUCAUGCCGGGACUCUAGCGAGACUGCCGGUGUCAAACCGGAGGAAGGUGGGGAUGACGUCAAGUCCUCAUGGCCUUUAUGCCCGGGGCUGCACACGUGCUACAAUGGCGCGUACAAAGGGAUGCGAACCCGCGAGGGGAGCAAAUCCCAAAAAGCGCGCCCCAGUUCAGAUUGCAGGCUGCAACCCGCCUGCAUGAAGCCGGAAUCGCUAGUAAUCGCGGAUCAGCUAUGCCGCGGUGAAUGUGUUCCUGAGCCUUGUACACACCGCCCGUCAAGUCACGGAAGCGGGGCGCAUCCGAAGUCGCCACCGACGCAGGUAGGCGCCUAAGGCGAGCUCGGUGACUGGGACUAAGUCGUAACAAGGUAGCCGUAGGGGAACCUGCGGCUGGAUCACCUCCUUU